rnacentral:rRNA from 4 species
ACUUUAACACUGAGGCGUGACGACGAGGCACUACGGUGCUGAAGCAACAAAUGCCCUGCUUCCAGGAAAAGCCUCUAAGCAUCAGGUAACAUCAAAUCGUACCCCAAACCGACACAGGUGGUCAGGUAGAGAAUACCAAGGCGCUUGAGAGAACUCGGGUGAAGGAACUAGGCAAAAUGGUGCCGUAACUUCGGGAGAAGGCACGCUGACACGUAGGUGAAGUGAUUUACUCAUGGAGCUGAAGUCAGUCGAAG